rnacentral:rRNA from 1 species
GUCAGCAGCCGCGGUAACACCGGCGGCCCGAGUGGUGAUCGUGAUUAUUGGGUCUAAAGGGUCCGUAGCCGGUUUGGUCAGUCCUCCGGGAAAUCUGAUAGCUCAACUAUUAGGCUUUCGGGGGAUACUGCCAGACUUGGAACCGGGAGAGGUAAGAGGUACUACAGGGGUAGGAGUGAAAUCUUGUAAUCCCUGUGGGACCACCUGUGGCGAAGGCGUCUUACCAGAACGGGUUCGACGGUGAGGGACGAAAGCUGGGGGCACGAACCGGAUUAGAUACCCGGGUAGUCCCAGCCGUAAACGAUGCUCGCUAGGUGUCAGGCAUGGCGCGACCGUGUCUGGUGCCGCAGGGAAGCCGUGAAGCGAGCCACCUGGGAAGUACGGCCGCAAGGCUGAAACUUAAAGGAAUUGGCGGGGGAGCACAACAACGGGUGGAAGCCUGCGGUUUAAUUGGACUCAACGCCGGACAACUCACCGGGGGCGACAGCAAUAUGUAGGCCAAGCUGAAGACUUUGCCUGAAUCGCUGAGGGGAGGUGCAUGG